UACAGGGGGGGGUAAGCGUUGUUCGGAAUUACUGGGCGUAAAGGGCUCGUAGGCGGCCAACUAAGUCAUACGUGAAAUCCCUCAGCUUAACUGGGGAACUGCGUGUGAUACUGGAUGGCUUGGAUUUGGGAGAGGGAUGCGGAAUUCCAGGUGUAGCGGUGAAAUGCGUAGAUAUCUGGAGGAACACCGGUGGCGAAGGCGGCAUCCUGGACCAAUAUUGACGCUGAGGAGCGAAAGCCAGGGGAGCAAACGGG
rnacentral:rRNA from 1 species